rnacentral:rRNA from 1 species
AGGUUAAGUUAAUAAGGGCGCACGGUGGAUGCCUUGGCACUAGAAGCCGAUGAAGGACGUGACUAACGACGAAAUGCUUUGGGGAGCUGUAAGUGAGCAAUGAUCCAGAGAUGUCCGAAUGGGGGAACCCGGCAGGUAAUGCCUGUCACUCAUUACUGUUAAGGUAAUGUAGAGGAAGACGCAGUGAACUGAAACAUCUAAGUAGCUGCAGGAAGAGAAAGCAAAAGCGAUUGCCUUAGUAGCGGCGAGCGAAACGGCAAGAGGGCAAACCGAAGAGUUUACUCUUCGGGGUUGUAGGACUGCGACGUGGACUUAAAGAUUAUAGAAGAACUACCUGGGAAGGUAGGCCAAAGAGAGUAAUAGCCUCGUAUUCGAAAUAGUCUUUAUACCUAGCAGUAUCCUGAGUACGGCGAGACACGAGAAAUCUCGUCGGAAUCUGGGAGGACCAUCUCCCAACCCUAAAUACUCUCUAGUGACCGAUAGUGAACCAGUACCGUGAGGGAAAGGUGAAAAGCACCCCGGGAGGGGAGUGAAAUAGAACCUGAAACCGUGUGCCUACAACAAGUUCGAGCCCGUUAAUGGGUGAGAGCGUGCCUUUUGUAGAAUGAACCGGCGAGUUACGAUAUGAUGCGAGGUUAAGUUGAAGAGACGGAGCCGUAGGGAAACCGAGUCUUAAUAGGGCGCAUUAGUAUCAUGUCGUAGACCCGAAACCAUGUGACCUACCCAUGAGCAGGUUGAAGGUGAGGUAAAACUCACUGGAGGACCGAACCAGGGCACGUUGAAAAGUGCUUGGAUGACUUGUGGGUAGCGGAGAAAUUCCAAACGAACUUGGAGAUAGCUGGUUCUCUCCGAAAUAGCUUUAGGGCUAGCGUCGAUGUUAAGUCUCUUGGAGGUAGAGCACUGUUUGGGUGAGGGGUCCAUCCCGGAUUACCAAUCUCAGAUAAACUCCGAAUGCCAAUGAGAUAUAAUCGGCAGUCAGACUGCGAGUGCUAAGAUCCGUAGUCGAAAGGGAAACAGCCCAGACCACCAGCUAAGGUCCCAAAAUAUAUGUUAAGUGGAAAAGGAUGUGGGGUUGCACAGACAACUAGGAUGUUAGCUUAGAAGCAGCUAUUCAUUCAAAGAGUGCGUAAUAGCUCACUAGUCGAGUGACCCUGCGCCGAAAAUGUACCGGGGCUAAAACAUAUUACCGAAGCUGUGGAUACCUUUAUAGGUAUGGUAGGAGAGCGUUCUAUGUGCGAAGAAGGUGUACCGUGAGGAGUGCUGGAGCGCAUAGAAGUGAGAAUGCCGGUAUGAGUAGCGAAAGACAGGUGAGAAUCCUGUCCACCGUAAGACUAAGGUUUCCAGGGGAAGGCUCGUCCGCCCUGGGUUAGUCGGGACCUAAGGAGAGACCGAAAGGUGUAUCCGAUGGACAACAGGUUGAUAUUCCUGUACUAGAGUAUAUAGUGAUGGAGGGACGCAGUAGGCUAACUAAACCAGACGAUUGGAAGUGUCUGGCCAAGCAGUGAGGUGUGAUAUGAGUUAAAUGCUUAUAUCUCUAACAUUGAGCUGUGAUGGGGAGCGAAGUUUAGUAGCGAAGUUAGUGAUGUCACACUGCCGAGAAAAGCUUCUAGCGUUAAUUAUACUCUACCCGUACCGCAAACCGACACAGGUAGUCGAGGCGAGUAGCCUCAGGUGAGCGAGAGAACUCUCGUUAAGGAACUCGGCAAAAUGGCCCCGUAACUUCGGGAGAAGGGGCGCUGACUGAUGGUCAGCCGCAGUGAAUAGGCCCAAGCAACUGUUUAUCAAAAACACAGCUCUCUGCUAAAUCGUAAGAUGACGUAUAGGGGGUGACGCCUGCCCGGUGCUGGAAGGUUAAGAGGAGUGCUUAGCGUAAGCGAAGGUAUGAAUUGAAGCCCCAGUAAACGGCGGCCGUAACUAUAACGGUCCUAAGGUAGCGAAAUUCCUUGUCGGGUAAGUUCCGACCCGCACGAAAGGCGUAAUGAUUUGGGCACUGUCUCAACGAGAGACUCGGUGAAAUUUUAGUACCUGUGAAGAUGCAGGUUACCCGCGACAGGACGGAAAGACCCCAUGGAGCUUUACUGCAGUUUGAUAUUGAGUAUCUGUACCACAUGUACAGGAUAGGUAGGAGCCUAUGACCUCGGGACGCCAGUUUCGAGUGAGGCGUUGUUGGGAUACUACCCUUGUGUUAUGGCUACUCUAACCCAGAUAGGUUAUCCCUAUCGGAGACAGUGUCUGACGGGCAGUUUGACUGGGGCGGUCGCCUCCUAAAAGGUAACGGAGGCGCCCAAAGGUUCCCUCAGAAUGGUUGGAAAUCAUUCGCAGAGUGUAAAGGUAUAAGGGAGCUUGACUGCGAGAGCUACAACUCGAGCAGGGACGAAAGUCGGGCUUAGUGAUCCGGUGGUUCCGUAUGGAAGGGCCAUCGCUCAACGGAUAAAAGCUACCCUGGGGAUAACAGGCUUAUCUCCCCCAAGAGUUCACAUCGACGGGGAGGUUUGGCACCUCGAUGUCGGCUCGUCGCAUCCUGGGGCUGUAGUCGGUCCCAAGGGUUGGGCUGUUCGCCCAUUAAAGCGGCACGCGAGCUGGGUUCAGAACGUCGUGAGACAGUUCGGUCCCUAUCCGUCGCGGGCGUAGGAAAUUUGAGAGGAUCUGCUCCUAGUACGAGAGGACCAGAGUGGACUUACCGCUGGUGUACCAGUUGUUCUGCCAAGAGCAUCGCUGGGUAGCUAUGUAGGGAAGGGAUAAACGCUGAAAGCAUCUAAGUGUGAAGCCCACCUCAAGAUGAGAUUUCCCAUGAUUUUAUAUCAGUAAGAGCCCUGAGAGAUGAUCAGGUUGAUAGGUUAGAAGUGGAAGUGUGGUGACACAUGUAGCGGACUAAUACUAAUAGCUCGAGGACUUAUCCAAA